rnacentral:rRNA from 1 species
AUUGAACGCUGGCGGCAUGCCUUACACAUGCAAGUCGAACGGUAACAGGUCUUCGGAUGCUGACGAGUGGCGAACGGGUGAGUAAUAUAUCGGAACGUACCUUAUCGUGGGGGAUAACGCAGCGAAAGCUGCGCUAAUACCGCAUACGAUCUACGGAUGAAAGCAGGGGACCGCAAGGCCUUGCGCGAUUGGAGCGGCCGAUAUCAGAUUAGGUAGUUGGUGGGGUAAAGGCUCACCAAGCCAACGAUCUGUAGCUGGUCUGAGAGGAUGAUCAGCCACACUGGCACUGAGAUACGGGCCAGACUCCUACGGGAGGCAGCAGUAGGGAUAUUGGGCAAUGGACGCAAGUCUGACCCAGCCAUGCCGCGUGCAGGAUGAAGGCGUUAUGCGUUGUAAACUGCUUUUAUACAGGAAGAAACGACUCUUGCGAGAGGCAUUGACGGUACUGUAUGAAUAAGCACCGG